rnacentral:rRNA from 1 species
AUUGAACGCUGGCGGCAGGCCUAACACAUGCAAGGCGGGCGAGCGGCGGACGGGUGAGUAAUGUAUGGGGAUCUGCCUGAUGGAGGGGGAUCACUACUGGAAACGGUAGCUAAUACCGCAUACCAUCAGAUGAACCCAUAUGGGAUUAGCUGGUAGGUAAGGUAACGGCUUAGCAAGGAGACGAUCACGAGCUGGUCUGAGAGGAUGAUUAUCCACACUGGUAUUGAGACACGGCCCAGACUCCUACGGGAGGAAGCAGUGGGGAAUAUUCCACAUGGGGCGCAAGCCUGAUUCAGCCAUGCCGUGUGUAGGAAGAAGGCAUUCGGGUGGUAAAGUACUUUCAGUCGGGAGGCUUGACCGACAGAAGAAGCACCGGCUAACGCCGUGCCAGCAGCCGCGGUAAUAC